rnacentral:rRNA from 1 species
GACGAACGCUGGCGGCGUGCUUAACACAUGCAAGUCGAACGGAAAGGCCCUGCUUUUGUGGGGUGCUCGAGUGGCGAACGGGUGAGUAACACGUGAGUAACCUGCCCUUGACUUUGGGAUAACUUCAGGGAACUGGGGCUAAUACCGGAUAGGAGCUCCUGCUGCAUGGUGGGGGUUGGAAAGUUUCGGCGGUUGGGGAUGGACUCGCGGCUUAUCAGCUUGUUGGUGGGGUAGUGGCUUACCAAGGCUUUGACGGGUAGCCGGCCUGAGAGGGUGACCGGCCACAUUGGGACUGCGAUACGGCGCAGACUCCUACGGGAGGCAGCAGUCGGGAAUAUUGCACAAUGGGCGGAAGCCUGAGGCAGCAACGCCGCGUGCGGGAUGACGGCCUUCGGGUUGUAAACCGCUUUCGCCUGUGACGAAGCGUGAGUGACGGUAAUGGGUAAAGAAGCACCGGCUAACUACGUG